rnacentral:snRNA from 1 species
AUGUUUGCUUUAACUGCAUAUGCACUAAAUUGGAAUGAUUCAGACAAGACCAGCAGGGCCCCUGUGCAAGGAUGA